rnacentral:rRNA from 1 species
CAUCACUGACGCUCAUGGACGAAAGCCAGGGGAGCGAAAGGGAUUAGAUACCCCUGUAGUCCUGGCCGUAAACGAUGAACACUAGGUGUCGGGGGAAUCGACCCCCUCGGUGUCGUAGCCAACGCGUUAAGUGUUCCGCCUGGGGAGUACGCACGCAAGUGUGAAACUCAAAGGAAUUGACGGGGGCCCGCACAAGCGGUGGAGUAUGUGGUUUAAUUCGAUGCAACGCGAAGAACCUUACCAGGGUUUGACAUCCUGCGAAUCUCUUGGAAACGAGAGAGUGCCUUCGGGAGCGCAGUGACAGGUGGUGCAUGGCUGUCGUCAGCUCGUGUCGUGAGAUGUUGGGUUAAGUCCCGCAACGAGCGCAACCCACGUCUUUAGUUGCCAGCAUUUAGUUGGGCACUCUAGAGAGACCGCCGGUGAUAAACCGGAGGAAGGUGUGGAUGACGUCAAGUCAUCAUGCCCCUUACAUCCUGGGCUACACACGUACUACAAUGCUACGGACAAAGGGCAGCAAGUUCGCGAGGACAAGCAAAUCCCAUAAACCGUGGCUCAGUUCAGAUCGUAGGCUGCAACUCGCCUACGUGAAGGAGGAAUCGCUAGUAAUCGCAGGUCAGCAUACUGCGGUGAAUACGUUCCCGGGCCUUGUACACACCGCCCGUCACACCAUGGAAGUUGGCCACGCCCGAAGCCGUUACUCCAACCCUUGUGGAGGAGGACGUCGAAGGUGGGGCUGAUGACUGGGGUGAAGUCGUAACAAGGUAGCCGUA